GUCCCUGUAGCACAAUGGAUAGCUCGUUGGACUUCUAAUCCAAAGGUCAUGGGUUUGAAUCCUAUCUGGGAUG
rnacentral:tRNA from 1 species